GCCGGAUUGACGAUAUUACCCUUUUGGUAACUUGGUCUUGUCUCAAGAGUUUGGAAGGGCUGCAGUGCAGACUCUGGAAUAGUUCCAUCACAUGAUCAUCUAGCCUACAGGCCAUGGAUAACAAUGAGUUGGCAAGGAUCAUGAAUCACAGUGAUUAAGUUCCCUGAAGAGCUUUUGAAAAGAGUUCGGGUUAGAGCCUAGAAGUGCCAGAUCACGAUUUCUUCUCAACUCAUCCUCCAACGUAUGGGAUACAAAGAACUUUGCCUUUAAGACAGAAUUGACCUGGCCUUGAAAGAGUAACCAUAAAUUUCUCCUCCCACCCAAACUCUUCCAUAUUAAUACAGCCUCUUGACACUUGUCUAUUUAAAACAACAGAACAAUGAAUAGUUAAUGAAAACAAAAAUAUGUACGUGAAGAAAUAACCCGACAAGUAGUUAUCUUCAACUUUGGAUAGAAAUACAUGUGUUUUUAAUUGAGUUAUGAACUUAAGAGGAAUUUUCAUUUGCUGUUGCUGAUUUGCAACUUUUUAAGAAGCUCCUUGCUCUUAUAUGCUAUACUUUAUACAUAAUUUAUCAUUAUAUAAAUGCAUCUAUGAAAUAUGAAUGCCUAUUGGAGAUAGGUAUUAUUUGUUAAUGAAAAGGUUAAAAAAAGAAAGGAAGAAUCAGGCUCAAUGGUGUGUGAGAGAAGACACUGGCAAGAAUAAUGAACAAGUGGUCAUGGUUCACAGAAAACUGAGCACAAUGUUCCUCAUUCUUUGCAAUCUUUUUAAUGGAUUCACCAUUAGGAAAUUAAAGAUGGGAAGAUAAUGGUGACCUUGACUUUGAAUGAUCACUUUGGCUACAAAAAGAACAAAAAUCAAUGCAGCUGAUUUGGGUUUGGCUACACAUAAUCCAAUUUGGAUUAACUUUUUCAGAAAGAUGAAUGGAUUUUGGAAAAGGACGUUUUUAAUGGACUCUGGAGUGACAGCUGGGGAGCCUGCAUGGGACAGACAAGGAUUGGCCAGGUUCAUUUAUUGUGCCCUUUGAUCUGCAAUCUGCAAAUGGAGAUUCAAAUACCCAAGGAUGUAACUCAGUUUGAAUCAAAAGACCUGAAACCAAGAGAAUCACUUGGCUGUUUAUAGGCAAGAGAUGAUGUCACAGCUCAAAGAAACAGAGAGAGUUUGACCUUUCCUUGGUCCUACUUGGUCUGUCAACAGAUUGGACGGUGUCUAUGUGCACUGUUGAGGGCAUAUAUGCCCACAUAUAGGGCAUACCUGCUUGGAAACAGAUGAACUUUGAAGUUGGGAUAGAAAAAGAAUUUGCCGCUACAGGAAAAACAUCCUGUGUAAAAACAAUAUUUGUUUUCACAUGCCUUUAUUGACUUGAGGGUUCUCUCGCCCAAACAAAACCAUAGUCAAAG